GAGACACAAGCUUCACAUGUAAAAUCCAACAGUGUGAAGCACAUAGCAGCCAGAAACUGUAAUGCCACAGAUCAGAGAGGCUUCAUUAUCACCAUCUUCGCCGUACGAUCAGAGAGUGAGACUUCACAUCUGGAGCACAGGAGAGAUUCUGUGUUAAGUCCUCCAUCUAGGUUGUCCUACAAGCAGUCGGUGAGAUUUACUCACAACAAAAAGGGUUAAUGACAUUAUUUUCAUGAAAACAUGUAUUAAUUCUUUGUAAAGUGUUUUAAUUGUGUUUUCACUUGACCUUAGGAGUGUUAUUUUGAGUGUAUUGUAAUGUCUGUACUCAGGUGUUUCCCUCUGUUAUCCAUCCCCUUCAGAGCUGAGACACUCAGGACUGAACAGACUGCACAGUUUCUGUGACUGAGCCUUCAAAACACCUUCUUUGAAACCACACAUGAUAGAAGGGCUUUAUAUUUGCAGCAGCACUACUAAAGUUGGCAGGACUGUUGCUGCAGGAAAACAUCCCUGGAGAUCACCAUCAUUGCCAGACUGACUGUGCCUCCUCUGUGCAGUGUCAAGAUCCUCCCUAAAUGAGUGUUCCUCAGCUAUCCUGCUUCUGUGCUGCUUGCCACACAUCAAACACUGGCCGGAUGACAGAGAGGAUCCACUCUGAAGUCACUGGAUAUGAUGAGGAUCAUA